ensembl:lncRNA
ACUUGCUAAUGUAUCAUCAACAGAAGCUUAUGUGAACUCAUAGUUUGCAAGUGAUAGGAGAUCAUGGUAUAUAUUUUACAUAUUUACUGAUUUGACCAAUACCUGUAAAUCUGAUUUUACAAUAAAGUCAUGAACUAAAAAAAAUCUGUGUUUUCUAAUUUUGCCCUCCACUCUAUUAUAGUGGUAGUGUAAUGGCUUUUCUGAAAAAAUACUUUCUGAAAAAAAUAAAAUACAAAAAUAAAUAAAUAAAAGUAACUAUGCACGGCUUUAUAAGAGCAAGAGUACAGGAAUUCAGACACUGCGCUCCCAUACAGUGUUAAUGUUCUCAAGUUUCAUUGGAACUUCAACAGAAUUUCAAUAGAACUCGAUGUUGCCGCUAAACUCAAAAUAGGCGGACCACUAAUGUCGAUUCCAGGAAGAGCAUCGGUUAACAUUAAACAGGCUGAUUUUUUUUUCUAUAUAGGGUAUUUCGAAAAUGAAAGUAGUUAAAUCAAUGAGAAAAUAAAACUGUACAUACAAAGACACAAACAGGAAAUCGUAAGAAGCGUGCAACAGUGCGUCAUCGAGAAUGAUGAUAAUAAGAAGACUUGACAGCUCAGUAGGUAUAUCGACUAUGACUGUGACUGUAUUGUCAUGCUUUAAAAAGCUUAAAACCAACGUGAUGUUGAACACCUUGUACAGAAGAGACACUGAUAGCUGAAAUGGAAGUCAUCUUUUUUGUUUUACUUGUGAAGGGAAUCCUUGCCAAACUAACAUGCACUGUGUCAGUAUACCAGAAUCAGUCUGUUGCUUAUAUCAUCUCUGGACCUCCGACUGCACCUGGAUGCUUACCCGAAUGGACCGCUGCUGUUUCUUCAGUGGUCAAGUGCAACAAUAAGUGUCCCACUGCACCUGUUGCAACAGUCACAAAAGCCUGUAGAGACUCAACUGUGGAGCUCCCAGUUACAGGCAGAAAUCAUGUUGUAGCAUUUGCUGUUGGUGGCAUUGCUGUACUACUUUGCUUUGUCAUCAUCUUUUCCAAGUACAGACAUCUAAUGUAAUCCGUUGGUGUUGUUUAAAAAAAAAACAGACACAUUUUUGGGAAAUUGCUUUAUUUUUUGGACCAAGAAUUUAUGACACUUUAGUCAGUGCUGACUGUGUCUCACCACUGCCUGCUGUUUGGAUCUUUUGAUCAUUCAGAAAAAAGUUUCCUAAUUUCCAGCAUGAGGAAACACUUACAGCCACAGGUGCAAAAAAUGAAUAAGGGGGUGACAUAUAAUACUUAAAUCAGCUUGCGCAGGGGAAAGAAGGCAUGUGACAGUUUUGGAGCCAUCUAUGUUCCCCCAAAAGACAAUUUGUAACUUGCAGCUGUCACUUGUAUGUUCUGUGUUUCUGUUCUACCUGCCUUGUCCUAGUUUUCAUUUGUUGCUUGAUUAGUUCUUUUGUUUCCACCCGUGUUCAUUUAUCUUAGUCCAUCGUUUGGUUUUGUAUACCUGUGUUCAUUUCUUAUCUUAUUAGUCCUCAGUUUGUUUGUCCUGUUUCCGUCAUGUAAAGAGUUUUUUUUUUCUCCUGUUUUUUAAGAUUCUGUUUAUUUGAUAUCUGCCUCCUUCGUACUCAUUCAAGCUCCUUCGACUGGCAACCCCGUGACAGAAGACAGGAUCCUAAAAGGAUAGACUGGGCUGAGGAUUUACUACUUAACAUCCAGCAGGAGGGACGGCCAUUGGAACGAUAUGUGGAGUUCCUGAGUGUUUAUCAUCUGGUGAGCUGGAGCAAUCAUAUGUUUAAUGGUUGCUUCCGAAUGGGACUGUACGAUGAUAACUUGUUCCGAUUUCUGUCUCCUGGUGAUAGUUAUAGACCUGUAACAGACAUUCUAAAUCACGUCCUCAAUAAUCGUCCAGAUCCCAUCUGGAAGCAUGUAGGCGCUCCGGCUCACCUUAAAUCAGCACCUUUCAUAUACUGCUCCAAUGAGCCCGCUCCCUUCGUUCAACCCAUGCCUUCGGGAUCCCAUCCAAGAUCCAUUUCAGCCCAGAAAAUGAGGCACCAGCGCUCCUGGAUUUGGCUCUUCCUCUGGAGAUCUCUGCUCCUAUCUUCUCACCUGAGUCUGCUCCAGAAAGCUCUCCUGAGUUUCCUUCAUCUCUGCUAGUCCCUUCCAGCCCUCCUUCAUUUCCUGAGUCUCCUGUGUUAGCGCCCUCCAACUGCCUGCCCCUCGAGAGCGCCUAGUUUUCCCCAAGAAAAUUUUGGGAGGCAGUCUAUAUAAAUGUGGCCACACCGGCUAAGGCCACGGAGGAUCUGCCUUGGCCUCCUGAGUCCCCUGAUCCGCCAUGGCCCCCUGAGUUACCAGCUUCUCCAUGCCUCCUGGAGCUACCAGAUCCGCCCACCACGUCCACCACUGAUGUCAUGUGUAUGUUCUGUGUUUCUGUUCUCUCUGCCUUGUCCUAGUUUUUCCUUUGUUGCUUGAUUAGUUAAUUUGUUUCCACCCGUGUUCAUUUAUCUUAGUCCAUCAUUUGGUUUUGUAUACUGUAAAUGGCCCUGACUGUCCUCAGUUUGUUUGUUUGUCCUGUCUCCGUCAUGUAAAGAGGUUGUUUUUCUCCUGGUUUUUCCAAGUGGAUUUAUUAAAAGACUGUUUAUUUGAUAUCUGCCUCCUUGGUGCUCCUGCACCUAGCAACCCUAUGACAGUAGCUAAGUUGUAAAUUAUAUUAACUUUCUCAGUCUACAUCAUUAUAAAUAAACUCAGUAUGUUAUGUACUAACAAUUGCAAAACAGGUUUUCUUUUCACUUUAACCCGCAGCUUUAAACUUAACUAAACCACUUCUGCAUAUAAGGGCAUCGGCUUUCAUAAUCUUAAACUUGCUGCCUUUUCUGUCUGUAUGCAUUUAUUUUAUUUUUCUGUGCAAUAAAUAACGUGGAUUGUGAAGGUAUUAAGGACCAUUUGUUUACUGUUUUUAUAAUACUGAUGUAAGACGCAAGUAAUUGUAACUUUAAUCACCUGCAGCUCCUGUGAAUAAAAAUUGUUUUAACCAUUCAAACGGAUGAUUCAUUCAGGAACAAAGCAACACAAUGACAUUAAACUUGUAUAAAAU